AAAAAAAGAAAUUAGACCCACAAAUUCUAAAAAGAAAAAACACAGACCCACAAAAUUAUGGAGAAAAUAUUUUUUUCAAUAUAUGUUGUUCUAAGGAAUAAUGGAGAAAAUAAAUAUAUUAUUCGUUUACAAAUCAGGUUUAUGGAAUAAUUGUAUCACAUAUGAUUUUAGAUCAAAAGAUGGCAAGUUCAAUCCUCAUCGGAUCUAUAUUCAGUCUGAUUCUUGUCCACUUAUAUGUCUUAAAGAGUCAGAUAUUUCUAUCUUAAUUCCAGCAAAGGAGGAGGUGGGGAGCGUUGUGCACUUGUUGUAUAUAAUGGGAGUGCAUGUAGAAUAAAUUACAUUUGGCUUCAAGUUUAUCAAGUAUUAGAGUAUGACUCUGGCAAAGGUUUACCAUAUUCUCUUGUAGAAUGGCAUAAUGUUGAUGAUAAGUGGGGCUGGGAGGCUGGAAAAAGAGCUACAGGUUUAGGCACCUUGAAGGAUAGAUUUUUAUAUCAUCUAAAGCAUUUUUAGGCUCCAAAAGAAGGAAAUAAAAAUGCUUUUAGAAGUAAGAUUCCAGUGAAAAGUAUUUCAAGUCUGAGCUUCCUGGUAUGGAUAUCAACUAAUUCUUUGCCUCAAUCAGUUGGGUGAUUCCUUCAAUGCACUCAUCGAGUUGAAAAAGUUAUCUUCAACAAGGCGCUUUGGUAUAUAUCAUAUAUAGAGAUAUAUUUUCGGCCGUUUGCAUCAAUUAAAAAUUAACUUCAUUCUUUUAUAUAUGUCUUGAUUUUGAUUAAGAAAUGAAACAUAGGAAUGCAUCUCUAAGGACCGAGUGCACCCUAUACUGUCUAAUUCUUCUAUAAGAGCCAAUAGUUAUAAGGAUGGUCAUAUAUGUUGUAGAAGUUUGAUAAUCACUGAAGCUGAGUUUGGUAAACCUGAAGCUGAAUUUGACACUUCUCCACAUUCCUCAGGCAUGCUUAAAUUUUUGCUUAUUUAGAUUGUUCUUUUAUUAUUCUUCCUCUUGUAGAAACUUUCUUCUUUUCAAGACAGAGAAGUUAAUAACUACUAAGGAAUUGGAUUAGAUAGAGCACGUGGUAGUGGUAAACCGUCCCUUCCUAUUCGUGAUCCACUUGCAUCACCUCGUGGGCUAAAGAUAGUAGCAAAUGGAAGAGCUAUGAUGUUUAUAUUGAGGGCUCAUGAAACACUACCUCUCCCUCAUGGUGCUCCUAAAACCCUGUUUAUAAAGGGACUUCCUCGGGACAACUCCAGAAGACAAGUAGCUCAUAUCUAUUCAGAUGUCAUUUGUUGAAUCAUUAUUAAUUUCUGAAUAUAGUUGUUGCUUUUACCCUACUACACUAAAAAUAUAUUUGGGAACAAUCAAAAAAUAUAAUGAUUCAGAGAUAUUCGAGAAAAAGCAACAAAUAUAAUCAUUUAGUAAAUGACAUCUCAAAGGAUAUGAGCUACUUCUCUUCUGGAGUUGUCUAGAGGAAGUCCCUCUAUGUAGAGGGUUUUAGAUGCACCAGGAGGGAGAUGAAGUAUUUCAUGAAACAUCGACAUAAAUACCAUAGAUCUUUCAUUUGGUUCUAGCUUAGGCACACGAGCUGAUGGAAGUGCAUCACGAACAAGAAGGGAAGGUAUACCACCACCACUUUCUCUAGUUAAUCCAGCUCCCUUGUAGUAAUUAGCUUCUACGUCUCGAAGACAAAAAUGUUGUUACAAGAGGAGGAAGAAGAAUAAUAAAAACAAAAUCCAAAUUAGUAAAAAAUCCAAGCAUGCCCGAGUAAUGUAGGAGCAGUGUCAACCUUUUCCUAGAGACCAUGCUUUUUGAUAUUUGUUGCAAUUAGCCUAGUCUUUUCCAAGACUAUUGUUGUUACCUUAGUUGUAAGUUUAUCAAUUUUGACUAUGAUGGUACAUUUAUAUUUGAUAUGAAACAACAGUAGAUGGCGACAUAUUGGGAAUGUUUUCCAUCUAUACAAGGCUCAAUGAGUUUACAUGGCUGCGACAUUCGGAUGAACCAUAAAUUUGGAUCUAGAAUAUUUUUGUCAAUACUAUGGUUCAAGGACGGAUUUUGUUUCACAGGUAGUGAAGCUUUAAAGAAUUUACAAUUUUUUUCCUUCUCGUGUUGAAAUCGAAAAGAUGUUGAAUGUUGGCAUAUGUAUUUUGUAUGGCUCACAAAAAAGAAUGGAAAAGAGUUGUUGCAUCAUAUUAACUCAAUUAAGGAAACAUUAUAGCUAAUUGUUAAUUAUACUUUGCUUCCUUAUGAUGCAAUCAUUUUCUAAUUUGAGGUUUAUAAUUACUAGAAUUACCAAUUUGACAAUCAUAUCAGCUUACGCAAGGAAUCUACAUUCAAGAUGUAUUAAAAAGGAAAGUUGUGUGAAUGACAUUGGUAGCUUCUCUGCCUGGUCAUUAUCGUAUUUGGUUGAUCUGUCACUUUAACUUGAACAUUAGUACCUAAUAAAGUUAUUUUAGUAUGUGAAUUACGGAUAAAAAUACAUACAUUUGUUCAUUGUAUGUUUCGUCUAUCAGUCAUUCCUAUUGUCCACAAAUACUAAAACACUUGGUGGAACUAAACAAACCAUUCUUUCUUAUUCUUGUAGGGUGUGCUUUCCUUGUUGUAUGUUUCCUCCUCAUCUUGUUUUCACCUUUAUAAGAGUCAAUCUCCUUGAUUCUUGUAGCGUGUGAUUUCCAUGUUUAGAUUUAAGCCUACUUUUCACAGAUUUUUAAUAUAUCACUUUUAUUUUUAUUUUGCAUUGAUCAUUUAGAAUUAGUGUCAUCAACAUAAGUUUGAAAUAUAAGUUAUUGAAGCAAAUAGUAUGUGUUGUUGCUUCUCUACGUUUAGCAAUACAACUCAGAUUUACUAGAGCGUAUCUAUUAGGCUGAUAUAUCUAUAUAUUACCAUUAUUGUUCUUGUGAUUCUUCUUGUUUCUCUUGAUUUGCAACCAUAUUUAAUAAUGAUUAUUUCUAUAUAUUGUAUCUUUCAUAUUUUUAGAGUCAUGGUUCAGUGCUCAAUUUGUUAUUAUUAACUAGUCUUGUGUCAAUUUAUAUCAUACAGUAUUUCUAAUGACAUGUAGGAUUUUUUUAAUUCUUCCUUUUGAACGAUGGUUUGAUGAAGUUGUUUUAUUGAUCAUUACAGCUAACUGUGCUACAUUGUAAGUUCAAAAUCUAUGUUAGAAGCAAAAGACACCGGAUGCUUCCAAUUUGUCUAAAUGUUUAUCACAAAAUUACCCUAUGCUGAUGGGAGGUAAAAUUACACAAUGGAAUGCGGAAGCUCGUCCAGACACUAUCGUCAUAAAAAUGAUUUGGUAUAUUUCUACAUGCCACUGAUUUUAACCUCGGGCUCCAAAUAUUUUGUUUAGCUUGGAUUGUAGCAAGAGAAUUUUAUUUUUUCUAUGUACUUGUACACGAAGCCACUGUUGAAUUAUGUUUUUGCCCCUUUAUAAAUUAAA